AGAACCCUUUUGGAACCCUUUUUUCGAAGAGAUACACGCUCACUCAUUCCUGUCCUCCUCUUCUCACUUACUCCUGUCCUCCUCUUCUCCUGUCCUCCUCUUCUCACUCCUGUCCUUCUCUUCUCACUCCUGUUCUCCUCUUCUCCUGUCCUUCUCUUCUCACUCCUGUUCUCCUCUUCUCACUCCUGUUCUCCUCUUCUCCUGUCUUCCUCAUCUCCUGUCCUCCUCUUCCUACUCCUGUACUCCUCUUCUCACUCCUGUACUCCUCUUCUCCUGUCCUCCUCUUCUCACUCCUGUUCUCCUCUUCUCCUGUCAUCCUCUACUCACUUCUGUCCUCCUCUUCUCACUCCUGACCUCCUCUUCUCCUGUCCUCCUCUUCUUACUCCUGUACUCCUCUUCUCACUCCUGUACUCCUCUUCUCACUCCUGUUCUCCUCUUCUGACUCCUGUUCUCCUCUUCUCACUCCUGUCCUCCUCUUCUCACUCCUGUCCUCAUCUUCUCCUGUCCACCUCUUCUCACUCCUGUACUCCUCUUCUCCUGUCCUCCUCUUCUCACUCCUGUCCUUCUCUUCUCACUCCUGUUCUCCUCUUCUCCCAUCCUCCUCUUCUCACUCCUGUCCUCCUCUUCUCCUGUCCUCCUCUUCUCACUCCGGUUCUCCUCUUCUCCUGUCCUCUUCUUCUCCUGUCCUUCUCUUCUCACUCCGGUUCUCCUCUUCUCACUCCUGUCCUCAUCUUCUGUCCUCCUCUUCUCACUCCUGUCCUCAUCUUCUACUGUCCUCCUCUUCUCACUCCUGUCCUUCUCUUCUCACUCCUGUUCUCCUCUUCUCUCGUCCUCCUCUUCUCACUCCUGUCCUCCUCUUCUCCUGUCCUCCUCUUCUCACUCCUGUCCUCUUCUCCUGUCCUCCUCUUCUCACUCCUGUCCUCCUCUUCUCACUCCAGUUCUCCUCUUCUCCUGUCCUCCUCUUCUCCUGUCCUCCACUUCUCACUCGUGUCCUCCUCUUCUCCUGUCCUCAUCUUCUACUGUCCUCCUCUUCUCACUCCUGUCCUCUUCUCCUGUCCUCCUCUUCUCACUCCUGUCCUCCUCUUCUCCUGUCCUUCUCUUCUCACUCCGGUUCUCCUCUUCUCACUCCUGUCAUUCUCUUCUCACUCCUGUUCUCCUCUUCACCUGUCCUCCUCUUCUCACUCCCGUCCUCCUCUUCUCACUCCUGUCCUCCUCUUCUCCUGUCCUCCUCUUCUCACUCCUGUCCUCUUCUCCUGUCCUCCUCUUCUCACUCCUGUCCUCCUCUUCUCACUCCGGUUCUCCUCUUCUCCUGUCCUCCUCUUCUCCUGUCCUCCACUUCUCACUCCUGUCCUCCUCUUCUCCUGUCCUCAUCUUCUACUGUCCUCCUCUUCUCACUCCUGUCCUCUUCUCCUGUCCUCCUCUUCUCACUCCUGUCCUCCUCUUCUCCUGUCCUUCUCUUCUCACUCCUGUUCUCCUCUUCACCUGUCCUCCUCUUCUCACUCCUGUCCUCCUCUUCUCCUGUCCUCCUCUUUCCACUCCUGUCCUCUUCUCCUGUCCUCCUCUUCUCACUCCUGUCCUCCUCUUCUCCUGUCCUCCUAUUCUCACUCCUGUCCUCUUCUCCUGUCCUCCUCUUCUCACUCCUGUCCUCCUCUUCUCAUGUCCUCCUCCUCUCCUGUCCUCCUCUUCUCACUCCUGUCCUCUUCUCCUGUCCUCCUCUUCUCCUGUCCUCCUCCUCUCCUGUCCUCCUCUUCUCACUCCUGUCCUCCACUUCUCACUCCUGUCCUCCUCUUCUCCUGUCCUUCUCUUCUCCUGUCCUUCUCUUCUCACUCCUGUCCUCUUCUCCUGUCCUCCUCUUCCCACUCCUGUCCUCUUCUCUUGUCCUCCUCUUCUCACUCCUGUCCUCCUCUUCUCCUGUCCUCUUCUUCUCCUGUCCUUCUCUUCUCACUCCGGUUCUCCUCUUCUCACUCCUGUCCUUCUCUUCUCACUCCUGUUCUCCUCUUCACCUGUCCUCCUCUUCUCACUCCUGUCCUCCUCUUCUCACUCCUGUUCUCCUCUUCUCCUGUCAUCCUCUUCUCACUCCUGUCCUCCUCUUCUCCUGUCCUCCUCUUCCCACUCCCGUCCUCUUCUCUUGUCCUCCUCUUCUCACUCCUGUCCUCCUCUUCACCUGUCCCCCUCUUCUUACUCCUGUACUCCUCUUCUCACCCCUGUCCUCCUCUUCUCACUCCUGUUCUCCUCUUCUCCUGUCCUCCUCUUCCCACUCCUGUCCUCUUCUCUUGUCCUCCUCUUCUCACUCCUGUCCUCCUCUUCACCUGUCCUCCUCUUCUUACUCCUGUCCUCCUCUUCUCACUCCUGUUCUCCUCUUCUCCUGUCUUUCUCUUCUCACUCCUGUUCUCCUCUUCACCUGUCCUCCUCUUCUCACUCCUGUCCCUCCUCUUCUCCUGUCCUCCUCUUCUCCUGUCCUCCUCUUCUCACUCAUGUCCUCCACUUCUCACUCAUGUCCUCCUCUUCUCACUCACGUCCUCCUCUUCUCACUCCUGUCCUCCUCUUCUCACUCCUGUCCUCCUCUUCUCCUGUCCUCCUCUUCUCCUGUCCUCCUCUUCUCACUCCUGUCCUCAUCUUCUCCCUCCUGUCCUCCUCUUCUCACUCCUGUCCUCCUCUUCUCCUGUCCUCCUCUUCUCCUGUCCUCCUCUUCUCACUCCUGUCCUCAUCUUCUCCCUCCUGUCCUCCUCUUCUCACUCCUGUUCUCCUCUUCUCCUGUCUUCCUCUUCUCACUCAUGUCCUCCUCUUCUCCUGUCCUCCUCUUCUCACUCCUGUCCUCCUCUUCUCCUGUCCUCCUCUUCUCACUCCUGUCCUCCUCAUCUCCUGUCCUCCUCUUCUCCUGUCCUCCUCUUCUCACUCCUGUCCUCCUCUACUCACUCCUGUCCUCCUCUUCUCCUGUCCUCCUCUUCUCCUGUUUUCUUCUCUCCUCUCUUCCUCAACUCCUUUUCGUGUGUGUGCCCCCGUAAGCGUGUGUGUGCCCCCGUGAGCGUGUGUGUGUCCCCGUGA
rnacentral:lncRNA from 1 species